AACUAGUUACUCCUAAUCCAUUUCAAUAUGUCGGAUUUACUAGGGAAACUAGCAGCUAAUUAGAGAAUGCACAUUUAUACUACUGUAUAUAAGUAAUUACACAAAAAUAACCCUGGGUUAUUUAGCCACCUAGCAUGGUUAAAUUAAGUAGGAAAUCCUGGUCUAAUCAACCAAACUGUAGUCAGAUAAAGGUUAAAAUAAUCAGGGAAUUUCACCAGGAAUAUUAAAUUAACCCAAAUAGGGUUUAAUUUCUUAUUUCUUUAUUUUUUUUAGGGUUAACCGGAUCAGUGUCUUUAGACUGCAUCUAAGCAUCUUUAUAGUAGAAAACCUUGUCUUGAUCAACCUUUUCACUGUAGAAGACAUGAUGUCAUUGGGUUAUUCCAGAAAACAUCCAUACCUCCCCAGAGGAAGUUUGAAGUUACAGUAACCCCCCAACCACCUUCAAUCCGAUGUCAUAAUACACUUACUAUUAUCAUCCCGCAAUUUCCUCCAUGGAAGGGGUGUGGAUAUUUUUCGGAACAACCCAUUAGAUGAAGCGAGUUUAUUAGCAAAAAACAAAGGAAAACUAAUUUGCAAUCACUACUGUGACAUAUUCAAAGUUAGUACUAUGUCUUCACAUAGUUGAUAUAAUACAAAAAUGUUGCAGCAGAAUAUUGUUUCGUGUUCUUUCUUAUUUGUGUUUUCAGAAAAUGCUAACUUGAGAUUAUUAAGAAGUGAGCUUUCCUCAGAACAGAUCUAUAUAGCUUAAACCCCUUAGUGGCAGUUUACAAAUC